AUUGAACGCUGGCGGCAGGCCUAACACAUGCAAGUCGAGCGGAUGAAGGGAGCUUACUCCUGGAUUCAGCGGCGGACGGGUGAGUAAUGCCUAGGAAUCUGCCUGGUAGUGGGGGAUAACGUCCGGAAACGGGCGCUAAUACCGCAUACGUCCUGAGGGAGAAAGUGGGGGAUCUUCGGACCUCACGCUAUCAGAUGAGCCUAGGUCGGACUAGCUAGUUGGUGGGGUAAAGGCCUACCAAGGCGACGAUCCGUAACUGGUCUGAGAGGAUGAUCAGUCACACUGGAACUGAGACACGGUCCAGACUCCUACGGGAGGCAGCAGUGGGGAAUAUUGGACAAUGGGCGAAAGCCUGAUCCAGCCAUGCCGCGUGUGUGAAGAAGGUCUUCGGAUUGUAAAGCACUUUAAGUUGGGAGGAAGGGCAGUAAGUUAAUACCUUGCUGUUUUGACGGUACCAACAGAAUAAGCACCGGCUAACUUCGUG
rnacentral:rRNA from 1 species